UGCAUUUCACUACAAGAAAACUGCUUAUUAGCGACCAACAUUUGGUGACGGGAUUGAAAUCUGGUCCCUGAAAGUGUAUUUAUAGGGACAAGAUUAUUUUCGGGUCCCUAAUUUUCAUUUUUUUAGUGAAGGCUCUAAAUCCGGUUGCUAAAAAGGUAAAAGUCCCGUCCUAAUAUUCUAAGUUCAGAGGAAAAGUAUUAAUUAAGCCCCCCACCCCUCUCUUUUAUUUAUACCCAAAAUGAAAACCCAUCCUCUCCAUCUUCUAAAAUCCCUAACAUCGACUCUUCCAAAGGCUGUCGACGGCUGAAGAUUUACAAACUGGAACACGUGUUGUUAAUCUGAGCAGACAGGUGUGGAUUUGGUGGCUGAGCUUGUGGUGUGACUUUGGGUCCAAAAGGAAGGAAUAUACUGCUUGGAAAUAAGUAUGGCUCUCCCAAGAUUGUUAAUGAUGAUGAAACUUUUCUUAAAGAGAAGUCAAUUAAGUGGCAAAUACAAAUCUGUUUUAAGCUUGCAAGCUUCUUCGCUAUGUGUUUGCUAUGCUGGAGAGCAUGUGGAUUUCUGGUGUUCUUGUCUUAUUAGUGUCAAAAUAUUCUCAAAUUAAGGCUAAAGGCACCUCGAUGCAAAUGGUGGGUGCGGAUUGGUUGAAGUCUGACAAACAGAAGAUGAUAUUGGUAGUCAGCCUGAGGGCAUUGUUUAGGUCCGAGGUUUGAUGACAUAUAGUCUUGCUCUCUACCAUAUGAUGGAUACCCCUUUGGAGGAUUCACCUUUGCUGGAGAGUUUUGUCAAAGGAGAUGAUGCUUAUAGAAACUUGAGGUUCAAGCUCAUACCAUACAUAUUAAAGGUUUGGUUUUCGCUAACUGGGAGUGAACAAAAUUACUUUUCAUAUAAGGUUUUUUUUCUGUAAGUUUCUUAGUCAAUUUAGCAAAAUGUUAUGGCACGUCAACAUGCAUGUAGCAUGUGCGCUGGUCCAUAUCAUUGCACUUCUCUUUUGUUCUUUCUCAGCUAUAAAGCAUACAUUAGGUAGUGUUGUCAUGUUUUAGGAAAAACUGAGUGUUUUUUUUUUUUUUUUGGGUUAAUUUAGUAGAUAGGUUUUCAUAAAGAUGUUAGAAGGCAAACCAAUAUUAUGUUAGCCACACCUUAGUCCUCUAUCUUGAAAAUGAUUGGCCACUUUGAAAGAAAUAGAACCUGUUUAAAUGGGUUAUAUCAGAGGAACUCUUUAAGUAAGCAAAUUCAAUACCCCCUCUAUUCAACAAAACUACCCUUUUAGUUUUUCAAGGGCUCAAAUUGAAUGAGAUUGCAACUAUAUUCCCUAUUGAUUAAUUUGUUUUCAACAAAUGUAACAAUACCUAGAAUAACAAGAAUGAAUACUAAGCUUAUGUUUCAGCUAUUUGAUUAUUAUGUUUCAGCUUCUUUGAUCACCAGCCAAAUCAAAGUCUGAAUUUUCUGGUCUCAUCUCCUCCAAAAUUAUUCCUAACCUUCAAAUACUGGUGGAUAAUUUGCGAAAAGAAAUUAUGGUGCAUAUAAAAUUACCCUCUAACAAUAGUUUGAAUGACGUUGAAGCGUUUAGGCCAACUUAGUUGUGUGGUACCAUCAUAUUUUGGUCCAAGUUAAGUAACUAGGAACCGAAUAUCUAGAGUGCAAUUUCUUAUUUCUUAUCUACACUUAUUUUGUGUGAUUUGGUCGUGCGCAUAAGUUAUUUUUCUAAACAAAUUUUAAUUUGUUUGUAUAACAGGAGUUGGAGACUUUCAUUUACACUUCAAGAUGCAAGUUUGAAUACUU